UACGUAGGAGGCAAGCGUUGUCCGGAGUUACUGGGCGUAAAGCGCACGCAGGCGGCUCAGUCAGUCUGUAGUGACAGGGCACAGCUCAACCGUGUCAGGCUUACGGAAACUGCUGAACUUGAGGGCUUCAGAGGGAUGGGGAAUUCCGGGUGGAGUGGUGAAAUGCGUAGAGAUCCGGAAGAACACCAAAGGCGAAGGCACCAUCCUGGGGAGUCACUGACGCUCGGGUGCGAAAGCCAGGGGAGCGAACGGG
rnacentral:rRNA from 1 species